AGACAGACUAUGAAGAGAUACAUAGGGUGAGAAACGGAGGCCUUCAGCCAACAGCUGGGAGAAGCUGAGUCCCAUCAGCCAUUCAAAAGACUGCAGCCCCAGCCAAGAGUUUGAUGUAACCUCAGGAGAGACCCUGAGCCAGAACCACCUAGGAGAUGAUGAGCUCCUGGGCAAGACUGAGGUUUGUGUCAUUUUGCAUCCCCAGCACCGAGAAGAGUACCUGGCACUUAUUGGUGCGCAGACAAUGUUUACUGCAUGAUUAGAAGGUUUAACUGGAAAAACCUACUAACCUCUGGUAUGAGUGGUCCACCAUGUACAAGAUAAUGUGCUGAGUCAACUUCAGUAGUUUAUAAAUGGUUAACCAUUCACAUCAUUCAGGGCUUUAGGUUGAAACAAUACAAACACCACGAGACAGUUUAGGAUGAUAUGACAAAAUGCUAUUGAUUGAAUGGCUUAAACAACAGACACUUAUUUCUCACAGUUCUGGAGACUGAGAAGUCCAGAACAAAGUACCAGCAGAUCUGGUGUCUGGUGAAGAUCCACUUCCUGAAGGUUUCCAGAUGGACAUCUUCUCCUUGUCUCCUCAUAUGACUAAGAGCAGAGAAAGAGGAAGCAAUUUCUUUAUAAUUCUCCUUACAAGGGCAUUAAUCCCAUUUAUAAGGACUCCACCUGUAUGAUCUAAUCAUCUCCCAAAGGCCCUACCUUCUAAUACCAUCCCAUUGAGCAUUAUGGUUUCAACAUAUAGGUAUUUUUUUGAGUUGGAAGGGGACAUAAUCAUGCAAUCCAUACCACAACCGAGUGAAUGCUUCUUUAGGCAGAAAAAAAAAAAAUCCUUACUGAAAAGAUAGGGAGUGAGUCAUAGAUUUCCAGGAAGAUUGGAGAAUCAGGCUCAAAGGACAAAAAUAAGGAGAGGCUCCUAAGCCAGAACCACUGCACAAAUGAAGCUGCAGACUUAAUCUAGUGAGGGCCUGAAUGCUGUUGCCACUGCUUCCAACACUGUACAUGAGAUCUCCACUGUGCUGUGGGCCAUCCCUGGUAGCUGAUUCUCCUACUGCACCUCCUGCCCACAAGAACAUAAAAGCCUCCAUUCC
rnacentral:lncRNA from 1 species